UAAUGCAAAAUUUCGUGGACACUCAGAUUUUAUUCCUUGUGGUAAUUUCGCCUUGUCCUAUUUUUAAGAGGGACAAUCGCACAGGCCGAUAGCAUAAACUGGACUCCAACUUCUGGGAAAUUAAUGUCAGCGCCAUCUGCUGCUGCUGGCAUGAAAAUGAAAGGCUGAAUGCAGAAUUUUAUUGUCCGGGUGAUGUCGGUGCUAGUUUCAACAGGAUCAAAUAGAGCAUAUUUGUUCUUCAGUGAACGCUGACGAAGCUUACGAUUAAACAGCUUUGCCCCUCCUGACUGUCGCUGCUCAUAGGAGAUAUUUUUGAAAAUUGUUUUAGUUCUAUUGAUACUACAUUAUUUGAAAAUGGCUGGCACUGAUAAGGGUGAUAAUGAUGUUGAUGGGAAAGCAGCAAAACCUGGUGAUGUUUCACAACAAAAAGACCCGGCUGAAGGCAACCCACCUGCAGCAGACCCCACAUCCAGCCAAGCAGCUUCCUCUUCCAGCAUGGAUAUAGAUUCCACUGCUGACACAUCAGCUACAGCCAGUGGCAGUCAAGCAGCCUGUUCCACUAAGUCAUGCGUUUCUGAAACGGCAAGUUUCCGUCCAAGAAGCCCAGAGCACUCUCCCAACAUUGAAGAUGUUGACUUUAAAGUAAUAUUCAGCAAGAGCAAGUAUGAUAUAACAUUUCCCCUGGAUGAUACAGUAGCACAAUUGAAGGAUCACCUAGAAAUCAUCACUGGUGUUCCUCGAACAAUGCAAAAAUUGAUGAUUAAGGGCUUGGCUAAGGAUUCAUUUACCCUUCGUGAAGCAGGUGUUACAAAGGGAUCUAAAAUCAUGCUAGUUGGCUCUAAGCUUGAUGAUAUCCUAUCUGUGUCCACUCCUAGCAAAGAGGAGCUGGAGCUGGAGAAAAGCAGCUCUAAUGCAAAGGAGCCCUUAUCAAAACAAAAAAUACACAAGAAAGUGCUUGAUAAAGGUGUGCCUGAUGAUGUGAUGCCUGGCAUUCUUAAUAACAAGGAAGCAUUACCACCCUUCCCACUUUCUGGAAUGUUAAAUAAAUAUGGUGGAAAAGUUCGGCUCACGUUUAAGCUUGAGCAAGAUGAAGUUUGGAUUGGAACUAAAGAGCGAACUCAAAAAUUAUCCAUGAACUCCAUUCGGGGCGUAGUAAGUGAACCAAUAGAAGGACAUGAAGAGUAUCACAUUUUAGGAAUUCAGCUAGGUCCAACAGAGGCCUCUCGGUAUUGGGUUUACUGGGUUCCUGUGCAGUACAUUGAUGCAAUUAAGGAUACUAUCAUGGGCUCAUCAUGGAUUAUCUAAGGAAUCCCUCUGCCCCCCUGUCCUAGUUUGUUUGCGAGUUUGUGACUCAAGCACUUCUUUCUCCAUUGCCAAAGGGAUCUGUGCUGAACAGAAAUCCCUUUCUGGGUCUUAAACAUUAACUCCGCUAGCAGAGCAGUGUUUUCCCCAGCUGGUCUCAAGACGCCUAGAUUACUUUUUUUUGAGGAAGAAGGUGAAGAACUUAAUGAAGGUUUGUGGAUUUUUGUGACUUAAUCUUAAGCAGUUUUCAGUUGUCAAUUGUGAAUGUGUGUAACUGCAAUAAGAAACUGUCUUAACAGUCUUUCCAAAUUUAUACAGUAGUUUUCACUAUUCUUUUUUUAUUUUAAAAUAAAUUGUCUUCUAAAGCAA
rnacentral:misc_RNA from 1 species